rnacentral:misc_RNA from 1 species
AUAAAUCCCAAACAUACAUCUCUACUCGGGAGGAAAGAGGUUCAUUAUUCCUAAAACAUGAUUUAGCAAUCGAAAUUGAGCAAUAUUUUCAACUCAAAAUGGCGAGGACAUGGGAAAAAGGACUAUCUUUCAGUCAGAAACAAUUAACAUUAUGCCGGAAAGGGACAUCAAAUUUCACCUAUGCCUUUGUCUUCCUCCUCAAGCGCUUCCUCAGCUUCUUCAACUUGUGCUUGUUCAUCUUCCUCUUCCUCUUUUUCUUCACACUAUCCGCCCAUAUCUUAAGUGAAUCUUCUCCUACGACGACGCCUCCAUCAUUCUCAGAUUUAACUACCCCAAUUUGAGAAAUGGGGUUUAGGAAAACACCGAAAGGGAAACUUGGAUAAACCAGUGGGCAAGGGGAAACCUUCUGAUUUGGAUCCUCUGUUUCGCGUUGGAGACAAAAGGGUAUUUG